rnacentral:rRNA from 1 species
AUUUUGCUUAGACAAUGGGGAUGUUGGCUUAGAGGCAGCCAUCAUUUAAACAGUGCGUAACAGCUGACCCAUCGAGCGAAAUUGCGCCGAAAAUGAUCGGGACUUAAGCCAUAUACCGAAGCUGUGGGUGCGUCGCAAGACGCGCAGUAGGAAAGCGUCCCAAGUGCAGCGAAGUGGAAGGGGUAACCGACCAUGGAGCGCUUGGGAGUGAGAAUGCAGACAUAAGUAACGAUAAAGCCGGUUGAAAUCCGGCUCGCCGAAAUCCCAAGGAUUCCUGGGGAAGGUUCGUCCGCCCAGGGUUAGUCGGGUGCUAAGACGAGGCCGUAAGGAGUAGUCGAUGCCAAGCAGGUUUAAUAUUCCUGCACCACUUGGUAUGCGUUUGACCCAUGGAGUGACGGAGAAAGUUAAGGCGGCGACGUGUUGAAUCGUCGUCCAAGUUCGUAGGCUGUUCGGGGAUAAAAGACCGGAUAAAGCCGAAAAACGACGGGACCUUGAGGCCACGGCCGAUGGGGAUCGCCUGAUACUCGGCUUCCGAGAAAAGCUUCGUGGUUAGCAUGUCAGGUGCCCGUACCGUAAACCGACACAGGUGGGAUAGAUGAGUAUUCUAAGGCGCGCAGGUUAAAUCUCUCUAAGGAACUCGGCAAAUUAACCCCGUAUCUUCGGUAUAAGGGGUGCCCCGCAAGGGGCCGCAGUUAAUUGCGUCAACCGACUGUUUAGCAAAAACACAGCACUCUGCUAAGUCGCAAGACGACGUAUAGGGUGUGACACGUGACCAAUGCGGAAAGGUGAAAGUCUUGGGUGCAAGCUCAGGAUCUAAGCCCCCGUGAAUGUCGGCCGUAACUAUAACGGUCCUAAGGUAGCGAAAUUCCUUGUCGGGUAAGUUCCGACCCGCACGAAUCGUGUAACGAGUUGACGACUGUCUCGGAGAGAGGCCUGGUGAAAUUGUAGUGGCGGUGAAGAUGCCGCCUACCCGCAGCAGGACGGAAAGACCCUAUGCACCUUUACUGUAAGCUGUUAUUGUCGCUUGACUUUCAAUACGUAGAAUAGGUGGGAGACUUCGAAGCCCGGUUCCAGGAUCGGGCUGAGUCACAACGUGAAAUACCACUUUUUGUUGGUUAGGCGUCUAACCUCGUACCAUCAUCUGGUCGUGGGACAGUGAUAGCAGGUCAGUUUUUCUGGGGCGGAAUCCUCCCAAAAAGUAACGGAGGAUUACGAAGGUUCCCUCGGCCCGGUCGGUAAUCGGGCUAUAGAGUGCAUGAGUAUCGUGACUGGGAAACAGAUCGGAAGAGCACACGUCUGAACUCCAGUCACUCCGCGAAAUCUCGUAUGCCGUCUUCUGCUUGAAAAA